AAUUAGAAAACAUAAAAAAUUCUGUUUUUUUCGAAUUUUUUUUUUCUACUCGUCUCAUCGCUCGAGCAACGCUUGCUCUGAGCUCAAGCUUCAAGCCUCCAUAGCAGAAGCUUGAAGCUUUGUUGCUCCCUGUCUCUCUCAAUCUAUCUCUUCGUCCCUCUCUCUCAUCAGUAACUUUUAGGGCUGGGCAUCUGAGCACCGCCCUCGCCGCCUCCUCUCGUCUCUGCGAUUCUGUCAGUUGAAAUCUCGGCGUCACACGCCACCGAACAGGCGCGCACCAUUGGCUCGUCGUGAGCUGGAGUUGCUAAUCUCCGAUCUCUACAAUCGGAUGAAGAAAGCUCUUGCGCAAAUCAAGCAGGGAACACACCCAUUUGCAUGAGUGAGGACAAUGCUAAUGAAAUUAGUGAUGCAAGAGAUUAAAUAGCCGGAGCAAUAUCAUUAGUCUAGAAUUUAUUUAGUAUAGAAUAUUUUAAUUUAAUAUGUAUUAUUUAAGACUUGAAGAUCAAUUGAGUUUGACGAUCAUUAUUUA